rnacentral:misc_RNA from 1 species
GAUGAAGAACGUAGCGAAAUGCGAUAAGUAGUGUGAAUUGCAGACUUUAGUGAAUCAUCGAAUCUUUGAACGCACAUUGCGCCCGUCAGUAUUCUGGCGGGCAUGCCUGUUCGAGCGUCAUUACGCCCCUCAAGUCCCCUGUGGACUUGGUGUUGGGGAUCGGCGAGGCUGGUUUUCCAGCACAGCCGUCCCUUAAAUUAAUUGGCGGUCUCGCCGUGGCCCUCCUCUGCGCAGUAGUAAAACACUCGCAACAGGAGCCCGGCGCGGUCCACUGCCGUAAAACCCCCCAACUUUUUAUAGUUGACCUCGAAUCAGGUAGGACUACCCGCUGAACUUAAGCAUAUCAAUAAGCGGAGGA